CAGGUACAGAAAAUAAGCAGAGCAUCCAGGAUGGGGCUGUAGGUCUGUAGUUCCGAGCAAUUCAACGACCACACCCUUGGGUUCUAAUGGGAACCAUUGGAGAGGUAACCCAAAAGUCUCUUCUAGCCCAAGAUAGACAGGUACAAACCUCUCAGUGGAAGUGUUUCUGUGAUCGUUGCCAGGUGUUUGGGAGGGCCUAGGAUUUAUGUGCCAGAAGCUUGGUCCCCAAGGUGGUGUGGUAUUGGGAUGGUGAUAUGGGUGAUGUUUUGAGAGAGAGGAAGUUGCAACACUGGAAACAUCACCUGCCACAGAGAUUAAUGUCGUUCUUGUAGGACCCUAAUUAAUUCCUGCAAAGUUGUGGUUAAAAAAUGAUACUUCCUGUGUGUCUCCUGUCCUCACUCAAUGAGGAGGAAGGAGGGGUACCUGGGGUGAAGGGAAGAGCAUAUUGGCACAGGCGACGAUGCCACAGACUAGUGACUGUACUGAUAGCAAGCACAGCUUCAAGUCCUUCAUAACUCUGCCAUUCCCGAGACACAACAUCCCCUCAAAGUCUAUUGAUGAAGAGCCAUCAGCCAUCUGUCAGCCCAUUAAAUGUGUGUCCAGUCCUCCACCUAAUAAAACACCCCAUAAACAUC
rnacentral:lncRNA from 1 species